AUUGAACGCUGGCGGCAGGCCUAACACAUGCAAGUCGAACGAGUGGCGGACGGGUGAGUACUGUCUGGGAAACUGCCUGAUGGAGGGGGCUAACUACUGGAAACGGUAGCUAAUAACGCAUACCAUCAGAUGUGCGCAGAUGGGAUUAGAUAGUUGGUGGGGUAACGGCUCACCUAGGCGACGAUCCCUAGCUGGUCUGAGAGGAUGACCAGCCACACUGGAACUGAGACACGGGCCAGACUCCUACGGGAGGCAGCAGUAGGGAAUCUUGCACAAUGGGCGAAAGCCUGAUGCAGCCAUGCCGCGUGUGUGAAGAAGGCCUUCGGGUUGUAAAGUACUUUCAUCGGGGAGGCGUUACCCACCGAAAAAGCACCGGCUAACUCCGUGCCAGCAGCCGCGGUAAUAC
rnacentral:rRNA from 1 species